GGAGCCCCCACGCCGAGCCCGACCCGCCAAUCACCGUCGCUGGACCCCGCCGCUGCCGCCACCGGACUGCCUCGCCCCAUCGCCUCAUCUUCAUCUCCUCCCCGACGUCUUCAUCGCGCCUUGCCGGCCCCCUGUUCAUCUACAACGGGGGUGAGAACCUUGCCUCCCCCUUCCCGCUCCUCUGCCUUGGCUUGUGCGCCGCGCAUCGCGGUUGCCUACUCACCGCCCGCGGCCUCCCGAACGAGCGCAUGGCCGCGUCCCGCCUGGCACGCCCGACGCCCGAUCACCACGCCCCACAAAUGCGCCCGGCCACCCUCGCCUCGCCCUGGCGCCCUCCCUGCGCGCCCGCGACGCCGCGCGCGUUGACACGCGACCCCGUCUGUCGUGGCCUCGCCCUGCUGAUACUUCUGCUACCGCUGCCGUGUCGGCGCCUUCCCGCUCGCCGGCCCACGCCCCCUGUCGACCCUGGCUGCCGGUGCCCUGGUGCCCGCUCGCCCAGCUCGCCUCGCCGUGCGGGCGUACACCCGCGCCCGAUACCCACUGCACCCGUUAACCGCGUGGCCCCUGUGGGCCACUGGCAACCGGGGCCCACAACCCCCCAGUUUUAAAAUAAAUAAAUAAAUGUUAAGAAAAAUAAUAAUUUAAUUAAUUAGUUAAAUGGUUAAUUAACUUAAUUAAUUAAUUUAAUGAACUAGAUUAGUUAGUUAAAUCAGUAAUUAGUUAUUAGUCAAUGACAGGGUGGCCCCACACCCCUAUUGACUAGUCAAACGUUGACUGGUCAACUAGGACCCCCUGGACCCACAUGUCACCCUCUCGUACACUUAUGUGUACACAGAUCUGGGUGCACGUACCAUUUACUCAUUUUUUUUGAUUUAAAUUAAAUUGCAGAAUAUCAUUAAAUCUUUGGAAAAUCAAAAAAAAUAAUCUGUAACUCGGAUGAAAAAGUUUUAUACAUGAAAGUUGCUCAGAACGACGAGACAAAUCUGAACCCGCGGUCCGUUCGCCCACCACACGUCCCUAGGAUAGCAAACGUUGAACUUUUCCCCUCCGGUUCAUCUGUCUGGCAGACGUCCGGAACCGGGAAAACUUUCCCGGAUGUUUCCUCCUUCGCCAGUAUCGCCUAGCGCUGCGUUAGAACACUUCCAGCCUUGCUUAUUGUCUUGUUGUGCUUAUGUUUGCGUGUAUUUUCUGUUUCUUCCCCCUCUUCUCUCUGGUAGACCCCGAGACUGCUGCUGAUGCCAUUGUGAUUUACUACGUCGACGACGACCCUCCUUCUUGUCUGAGCAACCAGGCAAGCCCCCCCUUUGAUCAUCCCGAUAUCGCCCAUUAUAUACUCUCAUGCUUGCAUUAGAUUUUGCUACUGUUAUUGUUUGUUCCUAUUGUGAUGCAUAGCCUGCUUUUGUACUUGCUAUUGUUACCUACCUCCUUAUGCUAAACUGCUUAGUAUAGGUUGGCUAGUGAUCCAUCAGUGACCCCCACCUUGUCCUUGUUGCCCCUGCUUCAUCAUCGACGACUAGAUCAACGUGAUCGACGGCCAGAUCCCGACACCUCACAUCACAUCACGCCCCUUUUGUUGCUCGACUCUGCAGAGCUACUAUCGAUGUCGAGGGUGAUCCCUCAUAACACACUCCUAAUGAUAAUUCUAUAGUGUAGCUAUUCGGUCGUGGUCGUCGAGGGUAAUUUCCUCUUUCAUCAUUCCCGAUACGGCUCUGUCGUUCAACACCUCAAGUGUGAACCUCGAGGGUGGUCCCUCUUACGUUCACCUUGAUGAUUACAUUGAGUGGAAUCCACGGGGGUGAUUCCUCGGGUUUUCCCGUUGAUGUCUGGACACACAGUUACCUUAACUUUAUGUGUGACCUUUGGGAAAGUCAGGCGGGCCUGGAGAGCACCCGCAAGAUAAUGACGUGGCACGGCCGGGCAUUCUAAGCCCUUGUCGUAAGUCCACGAGACGGGGCAACAGGGUCACUUUUGAUCGUGAGUCUCUGCUCGUCUCCGCAAGCUAAUAAUACACUAUGGUUUGGGUAUUUGUUCUAAGUUGGCCUUUGGCCUUUACGCACCAACCACCAUGUGAGAAUAGUUAUGGGCCUCGACAUCGCAGUAUCAGCCGAAGCUUUGUCAGACGUUUAGUUCAGCAUUGCGGCACGGCUAGGCUGGCACCCCAGAGGUGGUGCCUAGGUCCGCCCUGCACGUAACAACCCGGAGUGCUACGCGCGAUGGGCCCAGACCCCGGAGUGCUUAGGAUGUAGACCGGCGGGGACCUCUCUGCUGAGCCUAGGUAGGGUUGCGACGUGUUGAUCUUCCGAGGCCGGGCAUUAACCCAGAAAAGUGUGUCCAGCCAGAGUGAUUGAGCAUGUUGGAAAUCGUGGUGCACCCCUGCAGGGAAGAUUAUCUAUUAAUAAUCGUGUCCACGGUAAAGGACGUUCAGACUUAUAUCCUGAUCUUAUAAAACUACAAAUGGAUACUUGAGAUGUGUGGCUCCGGGAUUGCUUUCUCGCAGGGAGUCGAGGAAGGAUCUCUGGGCAUUAAUGUUACAACAUGCUUGUUAAUUAUAAACUGCUAUUCUUUACUCUUCUAUAUGCUGCAAGAUGCUUGGAGCUGCUUGAAGGUGCUAGUCUUUGUUAGGCUAGGCCUUCCCUCUAUUCUGGCAUUCUGCAGUUCAGUCCAUAGAUACAAACUUCCAUUUGAUACCAGUGCAUACUUAGUAUAGAUCUGAUGCUUGUGAGUACUUUGGAUGAGUACUCACGGUUGCCUCGCAACCCUUUUUUCCUCCUUCUUUCUUCUUUCCGGUUGACGCAACCAGAUGGUGGAUCCCUGGAGCCAAAUGCUAUCGCCGACGGAUGCUACUAUGUGAAGAUCACCGACGGUUAGGAGUAGUUAGGAGGUCCCAGACAGGAGGCCUUGCCUCUUCGACCGUUAUUGCUUUUGUGCUAGCCUUCUUAAGGCAUUCUUGUUUAACCUUAUGUCUGUACUCAGAUAUUGUUGCUUCCGCUGACUCUUGUGUAUCGAGCUUGUAUUCGAGCCCUCGAGGCCCCUGGCUUGUAAUAUAAAGCUUGUAUUAUUUUGAUUUGUGUCUAGAGUUGUGUUGUGAUA
rnacentral:lncRNA from 1 species